rnacentral:rRNA from 1 species
GUCGAACGGUGAACACGGAGCUUGCUCUGUGGGAUCAGUGGCGAACGGGUGAGUAACACGUGAGCAACCUGCCCCUGACUCUGGGAUAAGCGCUGGAAACGGCGUCUAAUACUGGAUACGAGUAGCGGCCGCAUGGUCAGUUACUGGAAAGAUUUUUUGGUUGGGGAUGGGCUCGCGGCCUAUCAGCUUGUUGGUGAGGUAAUGGCUCACCAAGGCGUCGACGGGUAGCCGGCCUGAGAGGGUGACCGGCCACACUGGGACUGAGACACGGCCCAGACUCCUACGGGAGGCAGCAGUGGGGAAUAUUGCACAAUGGGCGGAAGCCUGAUGCAGCAACGCCGCGUGAGGGAUGACGGCCUUCGGGUUGUAAACCUCUUUUAGCAGGGAAGAAGCGAAAGUGACGGUACCUGCAGAAAAAGCGCCGGCUAACUACGUGCCAGCAGCCGCGGUAAUACGUAGGGCGCAAGCGUUAUCCGGAAUUAUUGGGCGUAAAGAGCUCGUAGGCGGUUUGUCGCGUCUGCUGUGAAAUCCCGAGGCUCAACCUCGGGCCUGCAGUGGGUACGGGCAGACUAGAGUGCGGUAGGGGAGAUUGGAAUUCCUGGUGUAGCGGUGGAAUGCGCAGAUAUCAGGAGGAACACCGAUGGCGAAGGCAGAUCUCUGGGCCGUAACUGACGCUGAGGAGCGAA